UCGGGAAUUUUGGGCAAUGGGCGAAAGCCUGACCCAGCAACGCCGCGUGAAGGAUGAAGUAUUUCGGUAUGUAAACUUCGAAAGAAUAGGAAGAAUAAAUGACGGUACUAUUUAUAAGGUCCGGCUAACUACGUGCCAGCAGCCGCGGUAAUACGUAGGGACCAAGCGUUGUUCGGAUUUACUGGGCGUAAAGGGCGCGUAGGCGGCAAUUCAAGUCAUCUGUGAAAUCUCCGGGCUUAACUCGGAACGGCCAAGUGAUACUGUCGCGCUAGAGUGCAGAAGGGGCAAUCGGAAUUCUUGGUGUAGCGGUGAAAUGCGUAGAUAUCAAGAGGAACACCUGAGGUGAAGACGGGUUGCUGGGCUGACACUGACGCUGAGGCGCGAAAGCCAGGGGAGCAAACGGGAUUAGAUACCCGUAGUCCCUGAGCGGGCUGGCAAGGCGCAU
rnacentral:rRNA from 1 species